rnacentral:lncRNA from 1 species
AAAAAAAGAAGCAGAAGCAUCUAAAAAAUAUUAGGAGUACAACACAGCAUGACAUAAUUUUCUCCGGUCUGUACAAAUGCAAACAAGAUCAAUUUCUAGCCGAACUAAUUUGCCUAUUUCUCUAUCUUUUUUCUUGAUUAAAGCUUUUUUUUUCCUACUCCCAUUUACGGGUUUCCUUCUCAUUAACAUUAAUGCUGUUUUUCAGCAGGUUUUAUUUUCUCAAUGCACGAGAAAAAAAGCUCAAGCAACGCUUAUGCUGCUAUCUCCAUUCUUGAAGCCCUGCAUCAUCUGGAAAGCGGAGGCGGCCGGCUGAUCCUGGCCGGAGGAAAGAGAUAGCCGCAAAGAUAGAGGCGA